GAGGGGAAAGGGGACAAAAUGGCUGCCUGUAUUCUUUGUAUCUCAGCAGAGAUUAGGCCAGUCCUUGGGACUGCCAGAAAGGUCUAAUAAAGGCUUUUAUAUGAAGCUGUGGAAAACUGAUGACAACACUGAGACUUGUCUCAUCUGGGAACACUUGAUCCCAAAACUGUGUAUCUGCAACAUGCAUCUAUUGAAAGCAACAGAACAAAAAACAUCCUUCAAGAGAGUAAAGGGGGACACCUCCUGAAGGCACAACUUCCCCUCCCGAAGCACUGCAGCGCCCAG